rnacentral:rRNA from 1 species
UACGGGGGGGGCAAGCGUUGUUCGGAAUUACUGGGCGUAAAGGACUCGUAGGUGGCCAACUAAGUCAGACGUGAAAUCCCUCGGCUUAACCGGGGAACUGCGUCUGAUACUGGAUGGCUUGAGUUCGGGAGAGGGAUGCGGAAUUCCAGGUGUAGCGGUGAAAUGCGUAGAUAUCUGGAGGAACACCGGUGGCGAAGGCGGCAUCCUGGACCGACACUGACGCUGAGGAGCGAAAGCCAGGGGAGCAAACGGG